GACGAACGCUGGCGGCGUGCUUAACACAUGCAAGUCGAACGGAAAGGCCUUUUCGGAGGUACUCGAGUGGCGAACGGGUGAGUAACACGUGGGUGAUCUGCCCUGCACUCUGGGAUAAGCCUGGGAAACUGGGUCUAAUACCGGAUAGGACCGCACUUUAGUGUGUGUGGUGGAAAGUUUUUUCGGUGUAGGAUGAGCCCGCAGCCUAUCAGCUUGUUGGUGGGGUAAUGGCCUACCAAGGCGGCGACGGGUAGCCGGACUGAGAGGUUGGUCGGCCACAUUGGGACUGAGAUACGGCCCAGACUCCUACGGGAGGCAGCGGUGGGGAAUAUUGCACAAUGGGCGCAAGCCUGAUGCAGCGACGCCGCGUGGGGGAUGACGGCCUUCGGGUUGUAAACUCCUUUCGCCAGGGACGAAGCGUUUUGUGACGGUACCUGGAGAAGAAGCACCGGCUAACUACGUG
rnacentral:rRNA from 1 species